AAGUAAUGAUUAUAAAACUCAUUGUAGGUGACAAACGGCGCUAAUCGAAGAAAAAAAAUAUCAGAGACGAACAAUUACACAUGAAAAAGAUAUACAUGAUCAAGAGAAGAACGAAUAUACAUGCAUAACAUCCCAGGUCAAAUAUUGAACAAGGAUCAGAAGAAAGAAUAGAUUUAGACAUUUGUGAAAGGAACAAUGGAAACUUUGGAAGUUUACUCUUUCUGAAACGUAUAACUACAACAAAGAUGUGAUCAUUGUAUUAGAAACUGAAUUUCCCAGUCUUCUAGUGGUUUAACUAGCUUACCAAGGCAUAUACCUUCAUGAUUUAUGCACUUAUCUUUUUCAUGUUUUUUUUUCUUUUUAUAUUUUAUCUUAUCGAAGUAGCAUUGAAAAAAAACGGGAAUAUAUAAAUAUUUAAGAGAAAGUUACUACAUUUUGUACUUGGAAUAACUUAUUUUAAUAAAGAGAAGAUACGACGUU